UUGCAGGUCUGGAGGGCGAGCGGCCGGCGCGGCUGACGCGGGGCGAGGCUGACCGGGACACGUACCGGCGCAGCGCCGUGCCACCUGGUGCUGACAAGAAGGCUGAGGCUGGUGCUGGAGCAGCCACCGAAUUCCAGUUCAGAGGUGGAUUCGGCCGUGGCCGUGGGCAGCCCCCGCAGUAGAACCCCCUGCUCAUGCUUUGUGUAUAAUAAAAGAGGUGAAAAUGCCA